UUUAUUUAUUUAUUUUUCCUUUUCUCACCGGUUGUAUAAUUUUUUUUUUAAUUUUUACUAUCAACUUGACGUUCUAUCCCACCGUUAUUCAAAAUUCGCUGUCGCGGAACACCGGAUAUGUGAUAUAUAUACAUAUAUACAAUCACAGCUGUUUGCCCAUCACAAAAAAAUGCUCAAGUUCUCGCGAUAAUAAUAAUAACAAUAAUAA